UACGUAGGGUGCGAGCGUUGUCCGGAAUUAUUGGGCGUAAAGAGCUUGUAGGCGGUUUGUCGCGUCUGCUGUGAAAAUCCGGGGCUCAACCCCUGACUUGCAGUGGGUACGGGCAGACUGGAGUGUGGUAGGGGAGACUGGAAUUCCUGGUGUAGCGGUGGAAUGCGCAGAUAUCAGGAGGAACACCGAUGGCGAAGGCAGGUCUCUGGGCCACUACUGACGCUGAGAAGCGAAAGCAUGGGGAGCGAACAGG
rnacentral:rRNA from 1 species